AAGCGCUUGCAACCAGACUUGCACGCGGUUGAUCAUCCGGUGUUCUCACCGGUGCACUCGACCGUGUUCAGGCCAGCAUCGGUUCAGGUGGUGGGAUAAAGGCCGCAGGAACGUAGCUCUUCGGAGUGUUAUAGCCUGUGGUGUAAUCCCCCCGCCGGGACCGAGGACCGCGCAUUGCAAGGAUGCUGGCGUAAUGGUCAUCAGCGA
rnacentral:rRNA from 1 species